GACGAACGCUGGCGGCGUGCCUAACACAUGCAAGUCGAACGGAGUGGCAGAGACAGAUUCCUUCGGGAUGAAGAUUUUGUUUACUUAGUGGCGGACGGGUGAGUAACGCGUGAGCAACCUGCCUUACAGAGGGGGACAACAUUGGGAAACCGAUGCUAAUACCGCAUAACAUAUAUUUGUGGCAUCACAGAUAUAUCAAAGGAGCAAUCCGCUGUAAGAUGGGCUCGCGUCUGAUUAGAUAGUUGGUGAGGUAACGGCUCACCAAGUCGACGAUCAGUAGCCGGACUGAGAGGUCGAACGGCCACAUUGGGACUGAGACA
rnacentral:rRNA from 1 species